GAUGAACGCUAGCGGCAGGCUUAAUACAUGCAAGUCGAGGGGCGAGCAGGGUGGUAGCGAUACAUCGCUGGCGACCGGCAAACGGGUAGCGGAACACGUACGCAACCUUCCUUCAAGUGAGGAAUAGCCCACGGGAAACGUUGGAUUAAUACCUCGUAACAUUGUGAAGUGGCAUCACUUUAUAAUUAUAGCUCAGGCGCUUGAAGAUGGGCGUGCGACUGAUUAGGUAGUUGGCGGAGUAACAGCCCACCAAGCCUGCGAUCAGUAACUGGUGUGAGAGCACGACCAGUCACACGGGCACUGAGACACGGGCCCGACUCCUAC
rnacentral:rRNA from 1 species